AAUACUAAGUUUAAAACUCAAAGGGCUUGGCGGUGUUUCAGACCACUUAGGGGAACCUGUCUCAUAAUCGAUAAUUCCACGAUACACCUAACCUCUUUUUGCUUCCCAGUUUGUAUACCGUCGUCGUCAGGUAACUUUUAAGAAAUCGGGGGUUAGCUAAAACGUUAAAUGUAAACUUAAACGUCAGGUCAAGGUGCAGCCAAUAAGGAGGUGAAGAGGGGUUACAAUUAUUUUACUUAUAAUACGGAAAAGCUUGUAUUGAACAAAUAGCUAAAAAGGAGGACUUAAAAGUAAAAUUAAUUAUACAAAUAUAUUGAAUUGGGCU
rnacentral:rRNA from 1 species